rnacentral:lncRNA from 1 species
GAAUCACAUCAUACUUAGAAGCUUGAAAUUUUCAAGCCGGCUCCCUACUUCUCCAGAGAGGAGAGAGGGGAUGAAAAUGGAGUUAAUAAUUCAUUGUGCCCACUUGAGGAAGCUUCCAUAACUCCAAUAGCAGCAUUUGGAGAGCUUCCAGAUGAAUGAAUACAUUCACCUAUGGAAGGGUGAAGCCUUCCCUGGUGGUUCAGACAGUAAAGACUCCACCUGCAAGGCAGAAGACCUGGGAUGGAUCCCUGAGGAGAGCAUGGCAGCCCACUCCAGUAGUCUUGCCUGGAGAAUCUCCAUGGACAGAGGAGCCUGGCGGGCUACAGUGCACGGGGUCGCCAAGUGUUGGAAGCGACCUGGCGACUGAACAAAAACAGGAGGAAACCCGACCGAGAGGCGGGGCCAAAGGCGAGCCCGCCCCCGCGGCCUGUUUAGAGGGAGCUGAGCGCGCCGGUUGCGGGGAAGGUGAGUCUGGAGGCUUCCGUGGCCAUGGCCGGGAUUCCGAGCCCCUCGGAUUCGUCCCGGCCGCGCCCGGCUGGGGCCAGGGGAAGGCUCCCGCGGGCGGCCAACAUCCUGGAGCACGUCUACGGACUGACCGGUGCAUGAAAAGGUACCUUGAAAAGAGUUGAGCAGAAGAAUGGGCACUAUUUUACUUGAACAUAAAAACCAUUCAGCCAAUGAACUGAGCAUGAGUUAUUCAGCAUGAGCAAUUAUUCUAAACAUGAGCAAAGAUUUGGAAAAGCUGAAAACAUUGUCCAUUCGAUCUAAGCAGAGAAGCCCAGAAAAUCUCAGAGAGCUUCAACUAUGUCUAAAGAGGAAUAGGUCAUUUCACAGUUUGCCAAAUGAAGUACAGCUCCAACUUUGCCAGACCGCAAUCUACCAAGAAUUUGAAGCUGAAAGUAUGAUUCUGAGACAAGGACACGUACCCUUGAAAUACUACUUGGUUCGUGCUGGACAUUUAAAGGUCAUGUCAAGUAAUAUAAGCAUGAACAAAAAUACCAACUCUGAAAUUUUAAGUGCGUUUGGAGAAGGCAACUUCAUAGGGGGAAAUUACCAUAAAUUAAUUACUAUGGUUUUUCCAGUGGUCAUGUAUGGAUGUGAGAGUUGGACUGUGAAGAAAGCUGAGUGCCAAAGAAUUGAUGCUUUUGAACUGUGGUGUUGGAGAAGACUCUUGAGAGUCCCUUGGACUGCAAGGAGAUCCAACCAGUCCAUUCUAAAGGAGAUCAGUCUUGGGUGUUCAUUGGAAGGACUGAUGCUAAAGCUCAAACUCCAGUACUUUGGCCACCUCAUGUGAAGAGUUGACUCAUUGGAAAAGACCCUGAUGCUGGGAGGGAUUGGGGGCAGGAGGAGAAGGAACGACAGAGGAUGAGAAGGCUGGAUGGCAUCACCGACUCGAUGGAUGUGAGUUUGAGUAAACUCUGGGAGUUGGUGAUGGACAGGGAGGCCUGGCAUGCUGUGAUUCAUGGGUUCGCAAAGAGUCGGACACAACUGAGCAAAUGAACUAAACUGAAUUAUUGGAAAUCAGUUCAUCAAAUUAGGUAGUAUAAACUAGUUUAGUAGACACUUAAGUGGAAAUCAGUUUGUCAAAUUAUUUAGGCUUAGAUUAGCUUUGAAGUGGUGGAUAGUGGACAUCAAGGCGAAAAUCCUUAGGAAGGUGCCAAGGAGCCUCAGAGAAAGAAAACAUAUAGAGACAGAAGUGGAGAACCAAAGUCAAACUUCAUCUACUUAAUAGAUGUACUUACCUCAAAUUAUUCUGCCUAUACCAUUGCACACUUGCUUAAAUGAAAUCUCCUCCCUGCCUCUUUUAAAUGGUGUAUUUCCUCAGUAUCUCCAAAUAGAGCAGAGUGUUGCUUUUUGAGACUAGACACUGUGGCUGUCUCUCUUCUGCUCUCCCCACCCCUACCCCAAAUCUACAAUACUGGCAUAAAGAAGAUGCCCAAUGAUUGAUUGUGAGUGGAAAGCACAUAAAAACACAUAAAACUUCAUUCAGUCUCUUUCUUGCUCAUUUUAUUUUUAGCCUAGCAAGCAAUAGUUGCAAUGAGUAUUUUUGUAUGAAUAAAUAAAUUUUCUCCAUGGUCUCUGAAUCCACCCUCCCCUUUUUCUUUCAGGGCUGGAACAACCAUUAUCUCUGACAACUUUAAACUCACACUCCCUUGUAUUCAUUGUAUCU